AUUGAACGCUGGCGGCAGGCCUAACACAUGCAAGUCGAACGAGUGGCGGACGGGUGAGUAAUGUCUGGGAAACUGCCCGAUGGAGGGGGAUAACUACUGGAAACGGUAGCUAAUACCGCAUACCAUCGGAUGUGCCCAGAUGGGAUUAGCUAGUAGGUGGGGUAACGGCUCACCUAGGCGACGAUCCCUAGCUGGGCUGAGAGGAUGACCAGCCACACUGGAAAUGAUACACGGUCCAGACGCCUACGGGAGGCAGCAGUGGGGAAUAGUGCACAAUGGGCGCAAGCCGGAGGCAGCCAUGCCGCGUGUAGGAGGAAGGCCUUCGGGUUGUAAAGUACUUUCAGCGGGGAGGCGUUACCCGCAGAAGAAGCACCGGCUAACUCCGUGCCAGCAGCCGCGGUAAUUC
rnacentral:rRNA from 1 species